rnacentral:rRNA from 1 species
AAGGCUGAAAUUACGCCUUCAUGAAGCUGGAAUUGCUAGUAAUGGCAGGUCAGCAUACUGCCGUGAAUACGUUCCCGGGCCUUGUACACACCGCCCGUCACACCAUGAGAGUUGGAAAUACCCGAAGCCUGUGAGCUAACAGUAAUGAGGCAGCAGUCGAAGGUAGAGCCAAUGAUUGGGGUGAAGUCGUAACAAGGUAAC